GGGAGAACCACAGAGGCUUGCAUCACAAAGGUCAAUUCAAUAGAGAGCACACAGUUCUGAAGAGCUGAGUCCCACCCAGAGUGAAGGUAUGAGCCAUCCCGGAAGACUUCCCAGAGGAGGAACCACAAGUGUGAUGCGCAGGUUCCUUUUAGAACAUGACACCAUGGAAAGAGCAACAAUCUCUGGCCUCGACAUUCCCGCUUUUCCUGUUGCCCAACCAGGGACUGAACCCACAGCCUUGGCAAUGAAAGCCUAACCCCGGACUGCCAGAAAAUUGCUUUACAGAAUCUAAAAUGAAGCCAGGGCACCAUUGAGAAAGUAGAACUUACACCUGUUCACUCUUGAAUGCAAAAUAAACUUUCAACCCAAUGAUCCUGAGACCGCCUG
ensembl:lncRNA